GGGGCUAAUACCGGAUAACACAUGAAACCGCAUGGUUUCAUGAUGAAAGACGGUUUUGCUGUCACUUAUAGAUGGACCCGCGGCGUAUUAGCUAGUUGGUAAGGUAACGGCUUACCAAGGCAACGAUACGUAGCCGACCUGAGAGGGUGAUCGGCCACACUGGAACUGAGACACGGUCCAG
rnacentral:rRNA from 1 species